GUGGUGUUUGUCAUUGAGUUUGUGUCGAAAAAAGAAAGUAAGCCAUCUUCUCCAAUUUUAAUUUUAAUUUAUACUAACAUGUUUCUGAUUUUGAUGAUUCAGGUACCCACUCUCGAAUUUAAACCAUUGCCGAAUCAUUUCAAGUAUCACCUCCCAUUAAAAGAUAAAUUCCAUGCUUUGAAGCCGAGAGGAGUUUAAAGGAAAGAUUCGUCCGGCUAAAGACGUUAAAUCAAGCGCUUCUUGGGAGGCAACCCAAGCAUUCAACGAAGGGAGACUUUGGAAUCGCUAACCAAAUCAGAUUUGCAUUCUUACACCCUUAUCUUUACUGCUUUCAUUUUGUUUUGUUUAGUUGGUUGUGUUAUUUGGUUGAUUUCUGUGAGUUUGUAGUUUAAGUGUGGGGGAAGGUUAAACAAAGUUU
rnacentral:lncRNA from 1 species